UACGUAGGGUCCGAGCGUUGUCCGGAAUUACUGGGCGUAAAGAGCUCGUAGGCGGUUUGUUGCGUUGUUCGUGAAAACUCACAGCUUAACUGUGGGCGUGCGGGCGAUACGGGCAGACUUGAGUACUGCAGGGGAGACUGGAAUUCCUGGUGUAGCGGUGGAAUGCGCAGAUAUCAGGAGGAACACCGGUGGCGAAGGCGGGUCUCUGGGCAGUAACUGACGCUGAGGAGCGAAAGCGUGGGGAGCGAACAGG
rnacentral:rRNA from 1 species